rnacentral:rRNA from 1 species
UAGGGAAUAUUGGGCAAUGGAGGAAACUCUGACCCAGCAACGCCGCGUGAAGGAUGAAGGUUUUCGGAUUGUAAACUUCUGUUAUGAGAGAAAAAUAAAUGAUGGUAUCUCAUGAGUAAGCCCCGGCUAACUAUGUGCCAGCAGCCGCGGUAAUACAUAGGGGGCAAGCGUUGUCCGGAAUCACUGGGCGUAAAGAGAGCGUAGGCGGUUUAGCAAGUCGUGGGUGAAAGCCCGGAGCUCAACUCCGGAAUUGCCCUCGAAACUGCUUUACUAGAGUGUGGGAGAGGAAGAUGGAAUUCCAAGUGUAGCGGUGGAAUGCGUAGAUAUUUGGAGGAACAUCGGUGGCGAAGGCGAUCUUCUGGAACAUUACUGACGCUGAGGCUCGAAAGCGUGGGGAGCAAACAGG